rnacentral:rRNA from 1 species
CCUACGGGAGGCAGCAGUGAGGAAUAUUGGUCAAUGGCCGGAAGCCUGAACCAGCCAAGCCGCGUGAGGGAAGACGGUGCCAUGGAUUGUAAACUUCUUUUGCCAGGGGACAAAAACAGGCACGAGUACCUGAUCGAGAGUACUUGGAGAAAAAGCAUCGGCUAACUCCGUGCCAGCAGCCGCGGUAAUACGGAGGAUGCGAGCGUUAUCCGGAUUUAUUGGGUUUAAAGGGUGCGUAGGCGGCCUGUUAAGUCAGCGGUAAAAGUCCGGGGCUAAACCCCGGCGAGCCGUUGAAACUGGCUGGCGUGAGAGGGCGAGAGGUAUGCGGAAUGCGCGGUGUAGCGGUGAAAUGCAUAGAUAUGGCGCAGAACUCCGAUUGCGAAGGCAGCAUACCGGCGGCGAUCUGACGCUGAGGCACGAAAGCGUGGGUAUCGAACAGGAUUAGAUACCCGAGUAGUC